ensembl:lncRNA
GAAGGUGGUCCAGGAGGACGCGGGAGGAGCAUCGCUUCCUAAGCUCGUCCACAGCCGAUGGAUCUCCGCGCACGGAGCUCAAACUGCUCAUUGACGGGAUGUGAUGAGUCGCCAGCUCUUGCCGUCGAGCGCCACAGCAGAUACACCUCACUCCAUUCGGUCAGGCAGUGGGCCAGAAGGUUCCUAUCUCAACAGAAUCUCCACGGUCUUCAUUAGUUCAGUUCUACAUCUUCAUGCAAACCGUAACGACGCAGCAGUGAAUGCCCUUAAGGUAUUUUAAGCCACUAAGUGGGCUCUGCUAGAUCAAAUACUCCCUACAGGUGAGAGGGAUGCUAGAGAGGGGGGGGGACCCUCUCUUUUUACUUUUGGAAAUGUAUUCGUGGGAUUCGUCCAAAAAAAAGAAAAUGUGCAGUUUUAAUUCUGUUCGGUCUGAGAAAAGGUCUCGGCCGUAGAUCCUCGGCCCAUUAGUUGGCGAAACCAGUGGGCCUGAUCGGUGUGUUUUUGAUGUGAAAUGCCAGCACAUUUCAGGCUCAGGUUAGAUGAGAUGGUGAAAGUCUCUCCUAAUGAGCGAUGGCCUCUCUUCGUGCUGUUACGAAUGGAGUGACCUUUAACCAAAGAAGGAAUUGCUUUGCACUGGCAGCAAUUAGUUGCACUGUGGAAACUUAUUUGAGCAAAGUUUAUUUUGGGGGUAUGAGAAGUGGUUUGGUGAGCGUCAGUUCUGAUUUUAAGGGUUUGUUGUGUUUGACAGCAAAGCAUCCUCAUGUGGGGUAAAGUUAAAUCAUCGCAGGAUUUCCUUUUUCUUUUAUUUCAUUGUGUUCUUGACGGCCUGCAAACAGCGGAAGGCCCCGCGGGGACGCCUGCCAACACGGGGAGGUAAGUGGUGCAAAGCGACACGGCACAUUCACGCCAACAAAGCCAGGUUUGUGUACAUGGACCAAAUACAAGAGAUAACAGGAGCCGGCCCUUUGGAAAUGCUUUAGUCGCAUGAAGGGAUGUUGAGGAAGAGCAGGUGGGGGGAAAGUGCUUUUACCACAUUCAAUGCUUUAAAGGUAGUUUAUUUAUAUGGCGCUUUUAAAAACGCUUUACAAAGGGCUUUGACUGACAAAGCAGCAAAAGAAAGGCAAUAAAACAUCAGAGAGCUCAACAGCCAGGCCCAGCAAAGCCAGUGAAACAAAAAUAAGAGGUAAAUGCCAAUAAAAUAGGGCAAUAGAAUUCAAAAUAAACUCAAUACAAUUAACUCAAUGAAUAAACCAAAAUCAUUU